GUACUCGCUUCAGCAGCACAUAUGGUAAAAUUGGAAUGAUACAGAGAUUAGCAUAGCCCCUGCACAAGGAUGACACAAAAAUUCAUGAAGCAUUCCAUAUUUUU
rnacentral:snRNA from 1 species